UCCCUUUCUCCCUUUCUCCCUUUCUCUCUUUCUCUCUUUCUCUCUUUCUCUCUUUCGGGGGAGGGGUGGCACUUGGUCUAUCCUGCACUGGAAGGACUAGAGGAAUCAAAAGACUGAGGGACUGGAGGAAGGCUCGUGUGGCUGGGAGUGCGGGUCAAACCUAGGCAAAAGCCUUUACUCUGGAGGAGGGAAAGCUCUAGGUAGGUGGGCAGGGCUACAGCAGAGGGCUGACUGGGUGGACCUCCAAGACCAGCUGUGGAGGGACUGCAAGACAGCCACGAGCCAGCAGGUCUCCCUAACCACACUUCCAACGGCCACUUGAAGCAGCACAAAGGGGGCUCUGAGCACAGCUCCCUCACUACACUGAGCGCCAUUCAUUCUCCCGGGGACACCAGCAACUACCCUGGCGCCUGGGCCAACGGCAAGCCCAGCCCUGACGAAGCGCCUGUGCCAUAGCAACAGAUGCUCUGAGAUUCAGCUUUCCAGGUCUCAGAGCCUGCCUACCCACCAGGGUCUGCCUGGCCUGGCCUGGCCCACUGCACUCCUGGCCCUUGUGCCCUGGAGGCAGGACUCGCUGAAGGCCACAGUGUGCCGGGCAGAGGCUUCUCCCACGAAGUAGGGAUUGCGGUGAUUCCCAUUUCACAGAUAAGGAAACCAAGGCCCAUAGAAGCACAAUAAACAGCAGUUGGGGAGCUGGUCUGUCCAGAAAGCCAGCACUAGUCUGGUCAGCUAAUGCCAUAGCCUAGGUCACCAGCCCAAUUCACACUGUGACCGUCUCCCAGGAGAGAAGCCAGGGGUGUAUGCUUUGCCUUCCCCUGGGAAGACCCUCAGCUCUUUCCAGGCUAUGGGCUCCUUCUCCCUAUCUCCUGACAACAACCUGAAGAGGAGAAGGGGGUACCACCCCAGGAGUCUGCUCUGGAAUCAUAUGACCCAAUGAACGUUUCUAACUUGCCUUGGUCGUGGUGUUUUGUCACAGAAAAGUGACUAACUUCCUCUUUAGCCAUUGAGCACCGGUCACUGCAGGCCUACCUACAGAUGCAGGACCCUGCUGCCACAACCUGGCAGGACUGGGUCUCUUUUUCUCACCGGACUUUGGGGUUGUCUUCACUGCAUCGGGAGAAUCAGUCUGACCUGUCUUCUGCCAACAUCAUCCUGACAGGAGGCUGGGGCGCAGAUGGCCUGGAAAUCAGCUCCCAGGACUGCUGUCAGAGCGUCAGUGUCCGAUGAUUUUUUGAUGAUUUUAUUGAUGGAGGACACAGGACAGGACCCAUGUGUCCUGGAUUGCAUCUCCCACAGACCAGAUCACCAGCUACGGGACCAGGUGGCCUGUCUGCACACAUGUAACCCCGGUACUUGGAGGCUGAGGCGGGAAGAUCUCAAAUUGGAGAGCACCAACCUGGAUAUUACUGGAAAGACAACUUGCAACCCACUGUGUGCCACCAACUCUCUCUCUGUGACCUGGGGAAAUCCCCUUGCUCCUCUGUGCCUCAGUUUCCCUAUCUCUGCCCAAAGGAUAUAGAAGACCUGUCCCCACAUGCCUCCGCUGACUCAGACAAGGACAAUCACGCCUAAGCAGGUAUUGGCUUUAUACCUGGCUAUGCUCUGUGUUCUGGCCACUGGGCAGUUAGCAUAUCCUGCUCGCCAAAAAGAAACCCAGCCUCGGGCAGGUGAAUCAUCCUGUCCGUAAUCACACAGUGACAAAGUAGCCAAUCAGAAGUUGACUUUGGGCCACAGGCCCACUCACAGCAUUCUCUUCUUUAUUAUUGCUACUCCAUCUCCUGGGUACCAGGGCUUAGAAUAAACUGCCCUAACCAUGA